CCUACGGGAGGCAGCAGUGAGGAAUAUUGGUCAAUGGCCGUAAGGCUGAACCAGCCAAGUCGCGUGAAGGAAGAAGGACCUAUGGUUUGUAAACUUCUUUUAUAGGGGAAUAAAGGUAUCCACGUGUGGAUAUUUGCAUGUACCCUAUGAAUAAGCAUCGGCUAACUCCGUGCCAGCAGCCGCGGUAAUACGGAGGAUGCGAGCGUUAUCCGGAUUUAUUGGGUUUAAAGGGUGCGUAGGUUGGUUUUUAAGUCAGCGGUGAAAGUUUGUGGCUCAACCCUAAAAUUGCCGUUGAAACUGGCAGACUUGAGUGUGUUUGAGGUAGGCGGAAUGCGUGGUGUAGCGGUGAAAUGCAUAGAUAUCACGCAGAACUCCGAUUGCGAAGGCAGCUUACUAAGCCAUAACUGACACUGAAGCACGAAAGCGUGGGGAUCAAACAGGAUUAGAUACCCGGGUAGUC
rnacentral:rRNA from 1 species